AGCGAACGCUGGCGGCAGGCCUAACACAUGCAAGUCGAACGAACCUUUCGGGGUUAGUGGCGGACGGGUGAGUAACACGUGGGAACGUGCCUUUAGGUUCGGAAUAACUCAGGGAAACUUGUGCUAAUACCGAAUGUGCCCUUCGGGGGAAAGAUUUAUCGCCUUUAGAGCGGCCCGCGUCUGAUUAGCUAGUUGGUUGAGGUAAUGGCUCACCAAGGCGACGAUCAGUAGCUGGUCUGAGAGGAUGAUCAGCCACAUUGGGACUGAGACACGGCCCAAACUCCUACGGGAGGCACCAGUGGGGAAUCUUGCGCAAUGGGCGAAAGCCUGACGCAGCCAUGCCGCGUGAAUGAUGAAGGUCUUAGGAUUGUAAAAUUCUUUCACCGGGGACGAUAAUGACGGUACCCGGAGAAGAAGCCCCGGCUAACUUCGUG
rnacentral:rRNA from 1 species